GGGGCUGUGGUCUAGCCCGGUAGGAUUCCGUCCUCACGCGACGGAGGUCCCCGGUUCAAAUCCGGGCAGCCCCA
rnacentral:tRNA from 1 species